CCUACGGGUGGCAGCAGUGAGGAAUAUUGGGCAAUGGGCGCGAGCCUGAACCAGCCACGUAGCGUGAAUGAUGACUGCCCUACGGGUUGUAAACUUCAUGUACAAAGGAAUAAAGUGAGCCACGCGUGCCUUUUUGUAUGUACUUUAUGAAUAAGGAUCGGCUAACUCCGUGCCAGCAGCCGCGGUAAUACGGAGGAUCCGAGCGUUAUCCGGAAUUAGUGGGUUUAAAGGGAGCGUAGAGGGGGUGAUAAGUCAGUUGUGAAAGUUUGCGGCUCAACCGUAAGAUUGCAAUUGAUACUGGCCGACUUGAGUGCAGUAGAGGUAAGCGGAAUUCGUAGUGUAGCGGUGAAAUGCUUAGAUAUCACGAAGAACACCGAUUGCGAAGGCAGCCUACUAAACUGCCACUGACAUUGAUGCUCGAAAGUGUGGGGAGCAAACAGGAUUAGAUACCCUAGUAGUC
rnacentral:rRNA from 1 species